CGGCCUUGAAAUACCACCCUUUAAUGUUUGAUGUUCUAACGUGGACCCGUGAUCCGGGUUGCGGACAGUGUCUGGUGGGUAGUUUGACUGGGGCGGUCUCCUCCUAAAGAGUAACGGAGGAGCACGAAGGUUGGCUAAUCCUGGUCGGACAUCAGGAGGUUAGUGCAAUGGCAUAAGCCAGCUUGACUGCGAGCGUGACGGCGCGAGCAGGUGCGAAAGCAGGUCAUAGUGAUCCGGUGGUUCUGAAUGGAAGGGCCAUCGCUCAACGGAUAAAAGGUACUCCGGGGAUAACAGGCUGAUACCGCCCAAGAGUUCAUAUCGACGGCGGUGUUUGGCACCUCGAUGUCGGCUCAUCACAUCCUGGGGCUGAAGUAGGUCCCAAGGGUAUGGCUGUUCGCCAUUUAAAGUGGUACGCGAGCUGGGUUUAGAACGUCGUGAGACAGUUCGGUCCCUAUCUGCCGUGGGCGCUGGAG
rnacentral:rRNA from 1 species